rnacentral:tRNA from 1 species
GUUCACUGGUGUGGCCCCCGGUCUUCAAAACCGGUGUGGGGUAGCCUUGCGCGUCCCGGGCGGGUUCGAUUCCCGUACGCUUCC